UAUGUGUUUUUUUUUAAAUAUAUAGUAACAUUAUUUGUGUGUACCUGAGACUCGGUGAUUAGUUCUCAGAAUGUCGCAAAUCUCAAAACCGGUCUAUUUAAAGAACAGCGAGAUCCUCGCUCCAGCGGAGGGUAAAAUUACCAAUUUUCUAUUGGUACAGUGUGUUACCAAAGUGGUCGGAGAUACCGUUAAAUGUAUACAGUUAGAUAGAGAUCUACGGAGAAUUUAUUUGACCACCAUAGAGGGCAGGGACAAACUGUUGCUACAAGGCAUAGACGUAGAUGAUCAGCAUAUCAGUGUCUAUGAUUCCAACCCGUAUUCUACAGGACUGGAAGCGCCCGAUGACAAAUCUUUAAAAAUCACAAUCUGCGGUGUUCCUCUUUCAGUGGAUGAUAGUGCCGUUUUCGAAAUGUUAUCGAAAUUGAAGGUUUCUCCAAAAACAGAAAUGUAUUAUGAAAAAAUUAGAAAUCCUGAAACAAAAAAAAUGACAAGUGUACUAAACGGCAACCGUUAGGGCAACAUACUUCAGAUGUUUUGCAGCAUUUUUUUCGGUCAGCCAUUUCGCUUGUUCAGAGUUCAACAGUUUCUGCUGUACAGUGGUGCUCUAAUUUAUUUCAAUUAUCAAAAGGGAAAUAACUCUGUCUCUAUGAGAAACACUUUAGAAUGGGAAUCUCUAACAUGUUUGUUGAAUUAAAAGGGAAUACAUUAGUAUACUUCUGCACUUGCAUGUAUAUGGUACGUUGAGAGGAUCGGAGGAUCAGCAAUAUUUGGUUUAGUUGAGUACACAUUUGGUACAUUUAUAUAAUAUUUCCCAUUACACCCCACCCAAUCAUGACGUAUGCUUUAUAUUCCGUCUUAAAAAAAAAAACUUUUUAAUAAAAUGUCUCAUUAUUUGUUAUAAAAUUGUUAAUUUUAAUAUCCUGCAAGAAAAAAAAAAGAUUGAUAAAAUGACAAUAUCCUGUUGAGUUUGUGUAUUUAGCCAAAUACUACCAAAGAAUAAAUAAAGACAUUAAAUAAUA